CCUGAUGUCUUUAUAUACCCCUUUUAUAAAUCUAACAAUAUCUUACUUUCUAAGAUGCAACGUAUAUAUGUGUAUGAACAUGUCAGCAUCGAGCCAAUGUUUUUAUCCAUGCUUUCACGAAUAUUCAACUAAGUUUAUGGCUUACAACUUUCCAUCAUAUAUGCUAGUUCGUUGGAACAGACCAACUUUGAAGGUUCACAAACAUCAAUCUUGAAUACCAAAGAAAAACAAGGAUGACUGAAUUUUAGAAAGUUUUUCAAAAUCAAGAUGUGCCACUCUAGAUCAUUACAAAAAAAAUUACUUGAUGUCAAAUAAAUGGCAUCAUUCAGUUUUUGAUAAUAAAUCUGAAUCACAUUCAAAUGGUCUAAUUCCGAGUGACCGCUGAAAAUGAAAUAAACAUCAUAAUGAAACAAAUUCAAAGAAAAUAGAAUUAUACAAAAGUCUGAUGAUUCAAUGUGGCUUUUAACUUGUACUCAGCUUAAAUCUGGUAAAACUUCCAAAAAAAAUGCUGCAAGCUUCAGAAAAGUAAUUUAUGCAGGAAGAAUUUUAAGCAUAGACCACAAGUCAAUAACACAACUCCUGACUACACCUUGAAUACAUACCAAUUAACCAGCCAGUAAAUUAAAGGAAUCAACGAGUAAUCAACUGAUAAAAUCUUAUUGUUCCAUAUAUAUAUUAAAUAAACUUAAAUAUCCUAAAUUUAAAAGUUUAUAAAUUAGAAGACUAGAACUGAGAUCCAAUUCACAAUCUACAUAAUGGUAAUAGAAUCACAUAAUUUUUCUAGGAGCUUUGUUAUUUUUACUAAACCAAAAGUUUCAUUUCAAAUCGUAUGCAAUCUUUUGGGAUAUCUCAUAUUUUUACUGUAAAAAUUAAAGAUCCAUUCAUUUUCCAGUCAAAAUGCAAUUUCCACCAAUCGUUAAAUAUUAAUUAAACGAAAAACACAUGAUCCCUUACUACAGUUCAAUAAACUAAUUCAGAGUUCAUCUCCUAGUAACAAUAUCCAGUAGUGGGAAACAUGUGAUGACAAGAGGUUAACUAUCAUACAAGAACAAGGGAAAAGGAAUCCACCUAACCUAUAACACAUGGAAAUUAAAGUGUGUACACUCAAAAGCGGGCAGCUCUCUAAUCUCUUUACAAUGAUCAGACCCAGAAUAUGCCCAAAGGUACACAUGCCAGAGAUCCAUGAAGCAAGAAAAAAUAGUAAAUUGCCCAAUGUUUCCAAAUUAGUCCAACUUCAUCUAUCUCGAAAGAUAAACAGCUGUAUCUAUAAU
rnacentral:lncRNA from 1 species